GACGAACGCUGGCGGCGUGCUUAACACAUGCAAGUCGAACGGAAAGGCCCUGCUUGCAGGGUACUCGAGUGGCGAACGGGUGAGUAACACGUGGGUGAUCUACCCUGCACUUCGGGAUAAGCCUGGGAAACUGGGUCUAAUACCGGAUAGGAGCCAUUUUUAGUGUGAUGGUUGGAAAGUUUUUUCGGUGUAGGAUGAGCUCGCGGCCUAUCAGCUUGUUGGUGGGGUAAUGGCCUACCAAGGCGGCGACGGGUAGCCGGCCUGAGAGGGUGGACGGCCACAUUGGGACUGAGAUACGGCCCAGACUCCUACGGGAGGCAGCAGUGGGGAAUAUUGCACAAUGGGCGCAAGCCUGAUGCAGCGACGCCGCGUGGGGGAUGACGGCCUUCGGGUUGUAAACUCCUUUCGCUAGGGACGAAGCUUUUUGUGACGGUACCUAGAUAAGAAGCACCGGCUAACUACGUG
rnacentral:rRNA from 1 species